rnacentral:rRNA from 1 species
AGAGUUUGAUCCUGGCUCAGGAUGAACGCUGGCGGCGUGCUUAACACAUGCAAGUCGAACGGUGAAGAGAGCUUGCUCGUACGGUGAAAGAAUUUCGGGGUCAGGGAUGGGCUUGCGGCCUAUCAGCUUGUUGGUGAGGUAAUGGCUCACCAAGGCGUCGACGGGUAGCCGGCCUGAGAGGGUGACCGGCCACACUGGGACUGAGACACGGCCCAGACUCCUACGGGAGGCAGCAGUGGGGAAUAUUGCACAAUGGGCGGAAGCCUGAUGCAGCAACGCCGCGUGAGGGAUGACGGCCUUCGGGUUGUAAACCUCUUUUAGCAGGGAAGAAGCGAAAGUGACGGUACCUGCAGAAAAAGCGCCGGCUAACUACGUGCCAGCAGCCGCGGUAAUACGUAGGGUGCAAGCGUUAUCCGGAAUUAUUGGGCGUAAAGAGCUCGUAGGCGGUCUGUCGCGUCUGCUGUGAAAACCCGAGGCUCAACCUAAGGCCUGCAGUGGGUACGGGCAGACUAGAGUGCGGUAGGGGAGAUUGGAAUUCCUGGUGUAGCGGUGGAAUGCGCAGAUAUCAGGAGGAACACCGAUGGCGAAGGCAGAUCUCUGGGCCGUAACUGACGCUCAGGAGCGAAAGGGUGGGGAGCAAACAGGCUUAGAUACCCUGGUAGUCCACCCCGUAAACGUUGGGAACUAGUUGUGGGGUCCAUUCCACGGAUUCCGUGACGCAGCUAACGCAUUAAGUUCCCCGCCUGGGGAGUACGGGCGCAAGGCUAAAACUCAAAGGAAUUGACGGGGACCCGCACAAGCGGCGGAGCAUGCGGAUUAAUUCGAUGCAACGCGAAGAACCUUACCAAGGCUUGACAUAUAGAGGAAACGGCUGGAAACAGUCGCCCCGCAAGGUCUCUAUACAGGUGGUGCAUGGUUGUCGUCAGCUCGUGUCGUGAGAUGUUGGGUUAAGUCCCGCAACGAGCGCAACCCUUGCAUUGUGUUCCAUGCACGUAAUGGUGGGAACUCAUGGGAUACUGCCGGGGUCAACUCGGAGGAAGGUGGGGAUGACGUCAAAUCAUCAUGCCCCUUAUGUCUUGGGCUUCACGCAUGCUACAAUGGCCGGUACAAAGGGCUGCAAUACCGUGAGGUGGAGCGAAUCCCAAAAAGCCGGUCCCAGUUCGGAUUGAGGUCUGCAACUCGACCUCAUGAAGUCGGAGUCGCUAGUAAUCGCAGAUCAGCAACGCUGCGGUGAAUACGUUCCCGGGUCUUGUACACACCGCCCGUCAAGUCAUGAAAGUCGGUAACACCUGAAGCCGGUGGCCCAACCCUUGUGGAGGGAGCCGUCGAAGGUGGGAUCCGUAA